rnacentral:rRNA from 1 species
AGAGUUUGAUCAUGGCUCAGAUUGAACGCUGGCGGCAGGCCUAACACAUGCAAGUCGAGCGGUAGCACAGAGAGCUUGCUCUCGGGUGACGAGCGGCGGACGGGUGAGUAAUGUCUGGGAAACUGCCUGAUGGAGGGGGAUAACUACUGGAAACGGUAGCUAAUACCGCAUAAUGUCGCAAGACCAAAGUGGGGGACCUUCGGGCCUCAUGCCAUCAGAUGUGCCCAGAUGGGAUUAGCUAGUAGGUGGGGUAACGGCUCACCUAGGCGACGAUCCCUAGCUGGUCUGAGAGGAUGACCAGCCACACUGGAACUGAGACACGGUCCAGACUCCUACGGGAGGCAGCAGUGGGGAAUAUUGCACAAUGGGCGCAAGCCUGAUGCAGCCAUGCCGCGUGUGUGAAGAAGGCCUUCGGGUUGUAAAGCACUUUCAGCGGGGAGGAAGGCGUUAAGGUUAAUAACCUUGGCGAUUGACGUUACCCGCAGAAGAAGCACCGGCUAACUCCGUGCCAGCAGCCGCGGUAAUACGGAGGGUGCAAGCGUUAAUCGGAAUUACUGGGCGUAAAGCGCACGCAGGCGGUCUGUCAAGUCGGAUGUGAAAUCCCCGGGCUUAACCUGGGAACUGCAUUCGAAACUGGCAGGCUAGAGUCUUGUAGAGGGGGGUAGAAUUCCAGGUGUAGCGGUGAAAUGCGUAGAGAUCUGGAGGAAUACCGGUGGCGAAGGCGGCCCCCUGGACAAAGACUGACGCUCAGGUGCGAAAGCGUGGGGAGCAAACAGGAUUAGAUACCCUGGUAGUCCACGCCGUAAACGAUGUCGAUUUGGAGGUUGUGCCCUUGAGGCGUGGCUUCCGGAGCUAACGCGUUAAAUCGACCGCCUGGGGAGUACGGCCGCAAGGUUAAAACUCAAAUGAAUUGACGGGGGCCCGCACAAGCGGUGGAGCAUGUGGUUUAAUUCGAUGCAACGCGAAGAACCUUACCUGGUCUUGACAUCCACAGAACUUUCCAGAGAUGGAUUGGUGCCUUCGGGAACUGUGAGACAGGUGCUGCAUGGCUGUCGUCAGCUCGUGUUGUGAAAUGUUGGGUUAAGUCCCGCAACGAGCGCAACCCUUAUCCUUUGUUGCCAGCGGUUAGGCCGGGAACUCAAAGGAGACUGCCAGUGAUAAACUGGAGGAAGGUGGGGAUGACGUCAAGUCAUCAUGGCCCUUACGACCAGGGCUACACACGUGCUACAAUGGCAUAUACAAAGAGAAGCGACCUCGCGAGAGCAAGCGGACCUCAUAAAGUAUGUCGUAGUCCGGAUUGGAGUCUGCAACUCGACUCCAUGAAGUCGGAAUCGCUAGUAAUCGUAGAUCAGAAUGCUACGGUGAAUACGUUCCCGGGCCUUGUACACACCGCCCGUCACACCAUGGGAGUGGGUUGCAAAAGAAGUAGGUAGCUUAACCUUCGGGAGGGCGCUUACCACUUUGUGAUUCAUGACUGGGGUGAAGUCGUAACAAGGUAACCGUAGGGGAACCUGCGGUUG